rnacentral:rRNA from 1 species
GACGAACGCUGGCGGCGUGCCUAAUACAUGCAAGUAGAACGCUGAAGGAGGAGCUUGCUUCUCUGGAUGAGUUGCGAACGGGUGAGUAACGCGUAGGUAACCUGCCUGGUAGCGGGGGAUAACUAUUGGAAACGAUAGCUAAUACCGCAUAAGAGUAGAUGUCGCAUGACAUUUGCUUAAAAGGUGCAAUUGCAUCACUACCAGAUGGACCUGCGUUGUAUUAGCUAGUUGGUGAGGUAACGGCUCACCAAGGCGACGAUACAUAGCCGACCUGAGAGGGUGAUCGGCCACACUGGGACUGAGACACGGCCCAGACUCCUACGGGAGGCAGCAGUAGGGAAUCUUCGGCAAUGGACGGAAGUCUGACCGAGCAACGCCGCGUGAGUGAAGAAGGUUUUCGGAUCGUAAAGCUCUGUUGUAAGAGAAGAACGAGUGUGAGAGUGGAAAGUUCACACUGU